AUGAACGCUGGCGGCGUGCCUAAUACAUGCAAGUCGCGCGAACAGACGAGGAGCUUGCUCCUUUGACGUUAGCGGCGGACGGGUGAGUAACACGUAGGUAACCUACCUAUAAGACUGGGAUAACUUCGGGAAACCGGAGCUAAUACCGGAUAAUAUUUCGAACCGCAUGGUUCGAUAGUGAAAGAUGGCUUUGCUAUCACUUAUAGAUGGACCUGCGCCGUAUUAGCUAGUUGGUAAGGUAACGGCUUACCAAGGCAACGAUACGUAGCCGACCUGAGAGGGUGAUCGGCCACACUGGAACUGAGACACGGUCCAGACUCCUACGGGAGGCAGCAGUAGGGAAUCUUCCGCAAUGGGCGAAAGCCUGACGGAGCAACGCCGCGUGAGUGAUGAAGGUCUUCGGAUCGUAAAACUCUGUUAUUAGGGAAGAACAAACGUGUAAGUAACUGUGCACGUCUUGACGGUACCUAAUCAGAAAGCCACGGCUAACUACGUG
rnacentral:rRNA from 1 species